rnacentral:tRNA from 1 species
GCUCUGGUGGCGGAAUUGGCAGACGCGCUUCUUUGAGGUGGAAGUGCCGGAAACGGCGUGCGGGUUCGAGUCCCGCCCAGAGCACCA